AUUGCACGCUGGCGGCAGGCCUAACACAUGCAAGUCGAACGAGUGGCGGAUGGGUGAGUAAUAUAUCGGGACGUGCCCAGUAGCGGGGGAUAACUACUCGAAAGAGUGGCUAAUACCGCAUACUCUUGGCGCGUCCGAUUUCGGAUCAGCUAGUUGGUGGGGUAAAGGCUCACCAAGGCAACGAUCCCUCGCUGGUCUGAGAGGGUGACCGGCCACACUGGAACGGAGCCACGGUCCAGACUCCUACGGGAGGCAGCAGUGGGGAAUAUUGCACAUUGGGCGCAAGCCUGAUGCAGCCAUGCCGCGUGUAUGAAGAAGGCCUUCGGGUUGUAAAGUACUGUCAGCGGGGAGUCGUUACCCGCAGAAGGAGCACCGGCUAACUCCGUGCCAGCAGCCGCGGUAAUAC
rnacentral:rRNA from 1 species